rnacentral:lncRNA from 1 species
AUGUGCAAUAAUGUAAAAGAUUUUUCCAUAUCAGUUCUUUGUGGAAGAAAAUUUGAACAAAAACAAAAAAUGAAGAAAGUGAAAUAUAGUAUACUUUGGUUUGAAUUUAGACUCUUGAGGCAGAUGGCAUUUUUCAUCAUGAAUCCUUUGGGAUUUUCUUUCAUCAUUGUAUUGCUGAAAAUAGAUUGACAGAAAGUAUUAAGCUAAAGAGGAUGGGUGUGAUGAGCUGAGAGGACAGGGAGGAGUGAAGGACCCAGACGUCACAUUGAUGAACUGUAAGUAAGAUACAGGUGUUAGAGAGAUUGUCAAUAUGACUAUGCUCUCCAUUUGGUGUAGAACAUAGUCUAUCCAUUCUCUAUGCAAUACACCUCUGUCUCCUUCACAGGUUAGGGCAGAUACCCUCAGAAUACUAGGUGCCAUUCUCUAGGUCUCUUAACACUGCAUGCAUACAAGUAGACUACACUGGGAGGUGAUGUGGAACAAUGGAAAUAAAACUGGUGUUUUAAAAAAAAAUUAAAAAGGA